CUUGCCUUUGAUGAUUAAGUGCUAGCACCUGGCCCUUGCCACCUCAGAAUACAGUUAUUUCCAUUACAUGUACCUUUUUCAGUUGAGUGACUGAGGUUCCCACUGUAAAGUCCAGCUUAAACAGAAGAGUAACUACGGAGCUCUUCAGGGAUGCUGGGGCUCCCCUAACAAAUCUGUUUCUCAAUGUGUUCAUGAGAGGUGUGUCUUCUGGAUUCUUCCAGUGUGGGCAAAGAACAUGGACUCACAGACACUGGAUGGCUUGCACAAUGUCUUGAAGCCCCAAAGACUAGGUUGAAAUGCACAUGCAUUUUCACAAUACCACGCUUCCUCAUCUCUGUAAAGCUUACAUUUUAAUCCUCAUACAAGCUUUUGAUGAGGACUGGAGAAUUAUACACUGGAGAAUCAUGAUGUUCCAGGCACUCUUCAUGACACAACUUGCAGAGUCCCUCCAACAUUUCUAUGAUGUGGAUGCUGUCACUUUAUAUAUGAAGAAAAAACAAUUUAUGCUAAGUCAUAUGGGGUGAUA
rnacentral:lncRNA from 1 species